GAUGAACGCUGGCGGCGUGCCUAAUACAUGCAAGUCGAGCGAACAGAUGAGGAGCUUGCUCCUCUGACGUUAGCGGCGGACGGGUGAGUAACACGUGGAUAACCUACCUAUAAGACUGGGAUAACUUCGGGAAACCGGAGCUAAUACCGGAUAAUAUAUUGAACCGCAUGGUUCAAUAGUGAAAGACGGUUUUGCUGUCACUUAUAGAUGGAUCCGCGCCGCAUUAGCUAGUUGGUAAGGUAACGGCUUACCAAGGCAACGAUGCGUAGCCGACCUGAGAGGGUGAUCGGCCACACUGGAACUGAGACACGGUCCAGACUCCUACGGGAGGCAGCAGUAGGGAAUCUUCCGCAAUGGGCGAAAGCCUGACGGAGCAACGCCGCGUGAGUGAUGAAGGUCUUCGGAUCGUAAAACUCUGUUAUUAGGGAAGAACAAAUGUGUAAGUAACUAUGCACGUCUUGACGGUACCUAACCAGAAAGCCACGGCUGACUACGUG
rnacentral:rRNA from 1 species